GUGGGUAUAGUUCAGUGGUAGAGCAUGUGCUUAGCAUGCACAAGGUCCUGGGUUCAAUCCCUGGUACCUCCU
rnacentral:tRNA from 1 species